GCGUAGGGCACGUGGCACCAUCGCGAAGCUUGCGUCGAGGUGAAAUGAAGUCAUGAAGGCGGCGUUUCCGUCCGUGGCUCCUACAAAAAGAUGGACUAUUUUGUCCCUACGUGAGUGGGCAUUAUAAUUAAUAGUGUAGGGGUAUUUUUGUCUUUUGAAGGAGGCUUAGAGGAUAAGAAGAAAAGGAUGGACAGCCACGUAGGGUUAGAGAUUGAGAUGAAUUUGUAAGAUUUUGUACCAAGAAUUUGAUGGGAAAGGAGGCCCUUCCCCGGUGCCCCGCGGGGUUUUGAUUCUUCAACUGUGGCUGAGUUUUUCUUCCCUCUGUUCUUGCGUUCUUGUUCUCGGAGGGGCACGGGCGCUCGUGCGUGGCCAGCAGCCCGCGGCGGCGCGGCGCCGGAGCGCAAACCCCGUCGCGCACGUGGCCGGUGAGGGAGGCGCACGCGUGGGGGCGCGUCCUGGGCCUCUCGGGGCAACCGGCCGAGGCGAGCAGCGGUCCGGGCGGACAUCAGGCAGCAGGGCUCCUAGCGCUGCGCCUGCGUCAGGUCUGGUGCAGCCGGCGGCGCUCGCGAGCACAGCAAGGCACGGCGUCGGGGCACGCAGCGCCAGCUCGCGCGUGCGGGCCGGUUCGUGGGCGGCAGUCCACUCCUGCCAGCUGGCCGGCGGCGGGAGGCAACAGGCCAAGCAGGCCGUGCCCCAGCAGCAGCACGUGGCCAAUCGGAGGAAGCAGAUCAAGUGGGGCAAAUCCAUCCCAAGCUCAGCAGAGGUUCUCGUGCGGCGGCUUGGUUUGCCUUGGCGCAGGAAGGGGGGCGCGACAGGUGCUGAGCGGCGCUAGGCAACAGGAAGGCAGCAAGAGCAGCGGCAAUUUCAGCAAGCACACAAGGUGCUCGGGAAAAUUUCCAGCAAGUAUUUUUGUUGCACUUGUGUGUCUGUUUGAUUGUGUGCAGGUCUUCGUCUAGCGUGUGCGUGUGUGGAAAAUCCGUGGUGAACCGCUUGAUGAUUUGCAGCUAGAUUCAUCGACGCCCACCAAAUGUUUGAGGAAAUGCUGCACAAGGUUCUUUUCCACCAAGGGGUUCAAGUCUUCAAGAAGCCAGCACUAGCAGCAACAGCACAAGGCAGGUGCAGACGAGCGGUGGCUGUGAAGGUGUACAUGGAACCAGGAGUGCUGGGUCGCAGCGUAGGGAGACUGAUACCAAAGGGGGAAGUGCUGGAGGACCUGCUGGUGAGGUGUGCAGCACUGCUGGAUGCACCAGCGACAGGCAGCAUCUGAGGCGUAGUAGUAGAGCCGAUCCAGCUUCCCAGGCUGAAUUACUGCGCUGGCCGGUCCUCUAGUGCGUUGGCAUCAUGGCCUGCCUCACUUGCACCGCUCUUUUCAUCCUUUGUCAUUAACGAUUCAAUAUCUCUUGACAGCUUAAGGUCUUUCCUGCAAAAGGAGAAUGAAUGAGUAUCAAACGAGCAGGCAUACAUGGCACUUCAAUACUAGGACGAAAUUCUUUACC